rnacentral:rRNA from 1 species
CCGAGCGUUAAUCGGAAUCACUGGGCUUAAAGCGUCCGCAGGCUGGCCUGUAGGCAUCUCGUGAAAUCCCACGGCUCAACCGUGGAACUGCGGGGUGAACCACAGCCUGAGGGGUAGGUAGGGGUCAUCGGAACGUACGGUGGAGCGGUGAAAUGCAUAGAUAUCGUACGGAACGCCGAAGGUGAAGACAGGUGACUGGGCCUAUUCUGACGCUCAUGGACGAAAGCGUGGGGAUCAAACAGGAUUAGAUACCCUGGUAGUCCACGCCGUAAACGAUGCGCACUAGGUCGGUGGUCCUUCGACGGAUUGCCGGCCGCAGAGAAAUUAUUAAGUGCGCCGCCUGGGGAGUACGGUCGCAAGGCUAAAACUCAAAGGAAUUGACGGGGGCUCACACAAGCGGUGGAGCAUGUUGCUUAAUUCGAAGCAACGCGAAGAACCUUACCUGGGCUUGACAUGCACGGAUUAGCUCUUGGAAACAUGAGUGACGCCUUCGGGUGGAACGUGCACAGGUGCUGCAUGGCUGUCGUCAGCUCGUGCUGUGAAGUGUUGGGUUAAGUCCUUUAACGAGCGCAACCCUUGUCGCUAGUUGCCAGCGAGUAAUGUCGGGGACUCUAGCGAGACUGCCGGUGUCAAACCGGAGGAAGGUGGGGAUGACGUCAAGUCCUCAUGGCCCUUACGCCCAGGGAUGCAAACGUGCUACAAUGGCAGAUACAGAGCGACGCAAGACCGCGAGGUGGAGCAAAUCGCAAAAAGUCUGCCCCAGUUCGGAUUGCAGUCUGCAACUCGACUGCAUGAAGUUGGAAUCGCUAGUAAUCGGAGAUCAGCUACGCUCCGGUGAAUACGUUCCUGAGCCUUGUACACACCGCCCGUCAAGUCAUGGAAGCUGGUAGUGCCCGAAGUCGCCUCACCUCAGGGGUGCCCACGGCAAGAUCGGUGACUGGGACUAAGUCGUAACAAGGUAGCCGUAGGAGAACCUGCGGCUGGAUCACCU